GGGGAAUUUUGGACAAUGGGGGCAACCCUGAUCCAGCCAUGCCGCGUGAGUGAAGAAGGCCUUCGGGUUGUAAAGCUCUUUCGGCCGGGAAGAAAUCGUGCAGGCUAAUACCCUGUAUGGAUGACGGUACCGGAAUAAGAAGCACCGGCUAACUGCGUGCCAGCAGCCGCGGUAAUACGUAGGGUGCGAGCGUUAAUCGGAAUUACUGGGCGUAAAGCGCGCGUAGGUGGUUCGUUAAGUUGGAUGUGAAAGCCCCGGGCUCAACCUGGGAACUGCAUCCAAAACUGGCGAGCUAGAGUACGGUAGAGGGUGGUGGAAUUCCUGGUGUAGCAGUGAAAUGCGUAGAUAUCAGGAGGAACACCGAUGGCGAAGGCAGCCCCCUGGGCCUGUACUGACGCUCAUGCACGAAAGCGUGGGGAGCAAACA
rnacentral:rRNA from 1 species